rnacentral:rRNA from 1 species
AUCUAAGUAGGCGGAGGAGGAGAAAAUAACAAUGAUUUCGCAAGUAGUGGCGAGCGAACGCGAAACAGCCCAAACCCACCUGGUUACGGCCAGAUGGGGGUUGAAGGACCACAACAUUGACUUAAUUUUAUUAGUGGAAUAGUGUUGGAAAGCACAAUCAAAGAGGGUGAUAAUCCCGUACACGAAAAUAAAGUUAUACGUAGUGGUAUCCUGAGUACUGCGAGGUCGGAGACGCCCUGUAGGAAUUUGCCGGCACCAUCCGGUAAGGCUAAAUACUCCCAAGAGACCGAUAGCGCACAAGUA